rnacentral:rRNA from 1 species
CCACAGCGAUGUGGUCUCAGCAAAGAGUCCCUCCCGACUGUUUACCAAAAACACAGCACUUUGCCAACUCGUAAGAGGAAGUAUAAGGUGUGACGCCUGCCCGGUGCUCGAAGGUUAAGAGGAUGCGUCAGUCGCAAGAUGAAGCGUUGAAUUGAAGCCCGAGUAAACGGCGGCCGUAACUAUAACGGUCCUAAGGUAGCGAAAUUCCUUGUCGGUUAAAUACCGACCUGCAUGAAUGGCGUAACGAGAUGGGAGCUGUCUCAACCAGAGAUUCAGUGAAAUUGUAGUGGAGGUGAAAAUUCCUCCUACCCGCGGCAAGACGGAGAGACCCCGUGGACCUUUACUACAACUUAGCACUGCUAAUGGGAAUAUCAUGCGCAGGAUAGGUGGGAGGCUUUGAAGUAAGGGCUUUGGCUCUUAUGAG